rnacentral:rRNA from 1 species
GCAGUGGAGCAUGUGGUUUAAUUCGACGCAACGCGAAGAACCUUACCUGGGCUAGAAUGCCUCUGACCGGCGUAGAGAUACGCUUUCCUGGGUAAAACCAGGCAGAAUGCAAGGUGCUGCAUGGCUGUCGUCAGCUCGUGUCGUGAGAUGUUGGGUUAAGUCCCGCAACGAGCGCAACCCUUAUCAAUAGUUGCCAGCGGUUCGGCCGGGCACUCUAUUGAGACUGCCGUUGACAAAACGGAGGAAGGUGGGGAUGACGUCAAGUCCUCAUGGCCCUUACGGGCUGGGCUACACACGUGCUACAAUGGCGGUGACAAUGGGCAGCGAAGGGGCGACCCCGAGCUAAUCUCAAAAAGCCGUCUCAGUUCGGAUUGCACUCUGCAACUCGAGUGCAUGAAGUUGGAAUCGCUAGUAAUCGUGGAUCAGCACGCCACGGUGAAUACGUUCCCGGGCCUUGUACACACCGCCCGUCACACCAUGGGAGUUGGUUUUACCCGAAGAUGGUGCGCUAACCCGCAAGGGAGGCAGCCAGCCACGGUAGGAUCAGCGACUGGGGUGAAGUCGUAACAAGGUA